rnacentral:rRNA from 1 species
AUUGAACGCUGGCGGCAGGCCUAACACAUGCAAGUCGAGCGAGCGGCGGAAGGGUGAGUAAUGUAUGGGAAACUGCCUGAUGGAGGGGGGUAACUACUGGAAAAGGUAGCUAAUACCGCAUACCAUCAGAUGUGCCCAGAUGGGAUUAGCUGGUAGGUGGGGUAACGGCUCACCUAGGCGACGAUCCCUAGCUGGUCUGAGAGGAUGACCAGCCACACUGUAACUGAGACACGGUCCAGACGCCUACGUGGGGCAGCAGUGGGGAAUAUUGCACAAUGGGCGCAAUCCUGAUGCAGCCAUGCCGCGUGUGUGAAGAAGGCCUUCGGGUUGUAAAGCACUUUCAGCGGUGAGGCGUUACCCGCAGAAGAAGCACCGGCUAACUCCGUGCCAGCAGCCGCGGUAAUAC